UUUCACUUAAUUUAUUGUGCUAGAAUUAAUCAGGGAAUUGUGCUUAAUUCUCCGAUAUAUUUCUGUUUUUACUGAUUGUGCUUAAUUUGACCAGAAAUUUCAAUUUUAAUUAAUUUGAAUUUUCUGAGCUAAUUAUUUGCAUUAUUAUUUGCAAGGAAAAUUUGGAAAUACAAUUUGGGAUAUUUGGAGGUUAAAUGAUAA
rnacentral:lncRNA from 1 species